rnacentral:rRNA from 1 species
AUUGAACGCUGGCGGCAUGCCUUACACAUGCAAGUCGAGCGAAUGAAGUUCCUUCGGGAACGGAUUUAGCGGCGGACGGGUGAGUAACACGUGGGCAACCUGCCUCAUAGAGGGGAAUAGCCUUCCGAAAGGGAGAUUAAUACCGCAUAAGAUUGUAGUACCGCAUGGUACAGCAAUUAAAGGAGCAAUCCGCUAUGAGAUGGGCCCGCGGCGCAUUAGCUAGUUGGUGAGGUAACGGAGCACCAAGGCGACGAGGCGUAGCCGACCUGAGAGGGUGAUCGGCCACAUUGGGACUGGGACACGGCCCAGACUCCUACGGGGGGCAGCAGUGGUGAAUAUUGCACAAUGGGGGAAACCCUGAUGCAGCAACGCCGCGUGAGUGAUGACGGCCUUCGGGUUGUAAAGCUCUGUCUUCAGGGACGAUAAUGACGGUACCUGAGGAGGAAGCACGGCUAACUACGUGCCAGCCGCCGCCGUAACAC